UUGUCACAUGACCCUCGGCUGGCACAAAAUGCAACCAGGGUCUCUCCAAUUUUCUUAGAAAAGCAGUUAACUUGUUGCUGCCUCAAAGAUUUUAUUCAUCCUGAACCCCAAGAGGAAGGCCCUCUUCCAAGAAACGAGCGACUAUGUAUCUGAAAGCACUUCCAUGAGCAAGAACAGCCCUAGGCCUUUCGACAGACACUCCUGACUGGUCUGGUGAGCCAUGGAAGAUUUCUAAGUAGGGAAGGAGGAACCCCAGCGUCAAGGGAGGCCUCAUGAUCUGGCCAGCGUUGUCCUUAGUGCUUUGAUGUGUCCUCUCACUUAGUGUUUGUAACACCCCUGCCCCAUGGACGUUCUUAUCCUCAUUGUGAUGGUUAAGGAAAGUGCAAUUAUAGGAUCAGUCCAAGAGUCAGAUUCUGUAUUUCAAUCCAAGGUAAAUAUAAUAAUGAUUACCCCUGACAGUUGGAAUGCUCACUCCACUGGGGGGGGGGCGGUUCGUGAAUAGCGAGACAUGAAAGUAAGGUCAAGCUUAAAAAGACUGUAAGAGCCUUUGACACUUGCUCACAACAGACAGUGGCACCCAGAGUGACAGCACAUGGCUGUACAGCUUCUGCAGGACACAGGCACCUGAGGUCACAUCAUAGGUAUCACGUAUUUGUAAUUUUAUUUUCACGAAAUCCUGGUAGAUGUCAGUGAAGUGUCUUGUUCUAACAAAAGCAGCCCAUGAUGUAGUUUUCCAGCAAACAGAAAUGAAGCGUCUUGAGGAAGGGCAUCUUUUCCUACUUGGUGCCAUGACACCGACUACAUGAGCUGGUUUAAGGGCAGUGAUCCUUAAAUCACUAACUAUUCUGUGAAACUCCUAGCUGGUCUGCAUUGGAUUGGUCUCCCUUCCACCAUAUCAAUGUAUCAAAAUAUCCGUGGUUUCCAAUUAC